GACGAACGCUGGCGGCGUGCUUAACACAUGCAAGUCGAACGGAAAGGCCCUGCUUUUGUGGGGUGCUCGAGUGGCGAACGGGUGAGUAACACGUGAGUAACCUGCCCUUGACUUUGGGAUAACUUCAGGAAACUGGGGCUAAUACCGGAUAGGAGCUCCUGCUGCAUGGUGGGGGUUGGAAAGUUUCGGCGGUUGGGGAUGGACUCGCGGCUUAUCAGCUUGUUGGUGGGGUAGUGGCUUACCAAGGCUUUGACGGGUAGCCGGCCUGAGAGGGUGACCGGCCACAUUGGGACUGCGAUACGGCCCAGACUCCUACGGGAGGCAGCAGUGGGGAAUAUUGCACAAUGGGCGGAAGCCUGAUGCAGCAACGCCGCGUGCGGAAUGACGGCCUUCGGGUUGUAAACCGCUUUCGCCUGUGACGAAGCGUGAGUGACGGUAAUGGGUAAAGAAGCACCGGCUAACUACGUG
rnacentral:rRNA from 1 species